rnacentral:rRNA from 1 species
AUAUCAAUAAGCGGAGGAAAAGAAACCAACAGGGAUUGCCCUAGUAACGGCGAGUGAAGAGGCAAAAGCUCAGAUUUGAAAUCUGGCCCCCUCCACCGGGGGUCCGAGUUGUAAUCUGCAGAGGAUGCUUUGGCAAGGCCCCGGCUCCGAGUCCCCUGGGACGGGAUGCCGUAGAGGGUGAGAGCCCCGUGUCUGGCUGGGGCCGCGCCGUGUAAAGCUCCUUCGAAGAGUCGAGUUGUUUGGGAAUGCAGCUCUAAGCGGGUGGUAAAUUCCAUCUAAAGCUAAAUACCUGCCAGAGACCGAUAGCGCACAAGUA